rnacentral:rRNA from 1 species
UACAGAGGUCUCAAGCGUUGUUCGGAUUCAUUGGGCGUAAAGGGUGCGUAGGCGGCGCGGUAAGUCGGGUGUGAAAUCUCGGAGCUUAACUCCGAAACUGCAUUCGAUACUGCCAUGCUUGAGGACUGGAGAGGAGACUGGAAUUUACGGUGUAGCGGUGAAAUGCGUAGAUAUCGUAAGGAAGACCGGUGGCGAAGGCGGGUCUCUGGACAGUUCCUGACGCUGAGGCGCGAAGGCCGGGGGAGCAAACGGG